GCCAUCCCAGUUCGGAUCGCAGGCUGCAACCCGCCUGCGUGAAGUUGGAAUCGCUAGUAAUCGCGGAUCAGCAUGCCGCGGUGAAUACGUUCCCGGGCCUUGUACACACCGCCCGUCACACCAUGAGAGUCGGGAACACCCGAAGUCCGUAGCCUAACAGCAAGUGGGGGCGCGGCCGAAGGUGGGUUCGAUAAUUGGGGUGAAGUCGUAACAAGGUACC
rnacentral:rRNA from 1 species